AGAGUUUGAUCCUGGCUCAGAUUGAACGCUGGCGGCAUGCCUUACACAUGCAAGUCGAACGCGAAAGGGGGGCAACCCCUGAGUAGAGUGGCGAACGGGUGAGUAAUACAUCGGAACGUGCCCAGUAGCGGGGGAUAACCUCUCGAAAGAGAGGCUAAUACCGCAUACGACCUACGGGUGAAAGAGGGGGAUCGCAAGACCUCUCACUGUUGGAGCGGCCGAUGUCGGAUUAGCUAGUUGGCGGGGUAAAGGCCCACCAAGGCGACGAUCCGUAGCUGGUCUGAGAGGACGACCAGCCACACUGGAACUGAGACACGGUCCAGACUCCUACGGGAGGCAGCAGUGGGGAAUUUUGGACAAUGGGCGCAAGCCUGAUCCAGCCAUGCCGCGUGGGUGAAGAAGGCCUUCGGGUUGUAAAGCCCUUUCGGCUGGGACGAAAAGGCCCGUGCUAACACCACGGGUCCAUGACGGUACCAGCAGAAGAAGCACCGGCUAACUACGUGCCAGCAGCCGCGGUAAUACGUAGGGUGCAGGCGUUAAUCGGAAUUACUGGGCGUAAAGCGUGCGCAGGCGGUCUAUUAAGACAGGUGUGAAAUCCCCGGGCUUAACCUGGGAACUGCGCUUGUAACUGAUAGGCUGGAGUGUGGCAGAGGGGGGUGGAAUUCCACGUGUAGCAGUGAAAUGCGUAGAGAUGUGGAGGAACACCGAUGGCGAAGGCAGCCCCCUGGGCUAACACUGACGCUCAUGCACGAAAGCGUGGGGAGCAAACAGGAUUAGAUACCCCCGUAGUCC
rnacentral:rRNA from 1 species